rnacentral:rRNA from 1 species
UGAAGGGUUUGAUCCUGGCUCAGAGUGAACGCUAGCGGCGUGGAUUAGGCAUGCAAGUCGAGCGCGAAAGUCGACAAAGGAUCUCUUCGGAGUGACUGCGUAGACGAGUAGAGCGGCAAAAGGGUGAGUAAUACAUGGCGAACGUACCCCUUACUUUGGAAUAACUUCUGGAAACGGAAGCUAAUGCCGAAUAGUCCCAUAAGAGCGCAUGCUCCAAUGGGUAAAGUUUUUUCGGUGAGGGAGCGCGUCAUGCGCUAUCAGCUAGUUGGUGAGGUAAAAGCUCACCAAGGCAAAGACGGCUAGGUGAUCUGAGAGGAUGGUCACCCACAUCGGGACUGAGACACUGCCCGGACUCCUACGGGAGGCUGCAGUCGAGAAUCAUCCGCAAUGGGCGAAAGCCUGACGGUGCGACGCCGCGUGAGGGAUGAAGGCCUUAGGGUCGUAAACCUCUUUCGCCUGGUAAGAAUACAAUUGACGUAAACAGGUAAAGAAGCACCGGCUAACUCCGUGCCAGCAGCCGCGGUAAGACGGAGGGUGCAAGCGUUACUCGGAAUUACUGGGCGUAAAGGGUCCGUAGGCGGCCUGGAAAGUUGGAUGUGAAAUCCCACAGCUUAACUGUGGAACUGCGUCCAAAACUAUCAGGCUAGAGGAUGGUAGGGGACAGUGGAACUCAAGGUGGAGCGGUGAAAUGCGUAGAGAUCUUGAGGAACGCCGGUGGCGAAAGCGACUGUCUGGGCCAUUCCUGACGCUG